GAUCGGGAUCCUCUGGAGCAGAGCCGGGAAUGCCGCAAGGGAAAAGGGUUUUGGAAGGAAAACCUCCAGGGAGCUGCUCCUCAUUCCCAAGGCCUUGAUAAGGAACCCGAAUCUUAUCACUCCAAACCCCUUGGAAAAGACUUUUCAUGGAUUAAAUCCCAGGUUUCAGCUCCCUGUGGCACAGGAUCCAGCAAACAGGGAUGGAGGACAAAGAGCGCAUUGUGUCCACUGGAGGGAAUUGCAGCGGGAAUGGCUGUGCAAGGAAUUGAGUCCAGGAAUUCACAGAGGUGGGACUCCCACCUCAGUGUCCCACAGGAAGGUCCUGGGCUGGUGCAUCCACAGGCUCUUCCUGGUGGAUCCAGAGAACUUCUGGAGCUGCCCUUGGGAGCAGAAUUCAGAGGAGGCUCUUCUGCCCAGGGGAAACUGAGGCAUGGUGCGCAAACUUCUGCACAUUCCAUUCAGCAGAGCUGGAAUCACAUGGAAUCACGUGGAAUCACAUGGAAUCACCUGGGACACAUGGAAACAUAUGGAAAUGUGUGGAAACACAUGGAAUCCCAUGGAAAUGUGGAAUCAAGUGGAAUCACAUGGAAACCCAUGGAAUCACAUCUUUCUGAGUCCAAUCCAAUUUUCCAAAUCCAGAGCAAACAUCCUGCACAAAGCCCUUCCAGGAUUAUCCCAGGAAUGCCACCAAAUCCCCGUAAAGUUCAUGGAAUGAGGCUUCCUCUGGAAACGUUCCUUGUGUCCAGCUGGGUGGGGAACACCUCCCAGAAAAUUCCUCUCCCCAUGCUGGAGAUUCACUCCCAGGGAAAGCCUCGAUGCAGAUUUAAUGGAAUCCUGGAAUGGUGGGGUGGGAAGGGACCUUAAAGAUCCUCCAAUUCC